rnacentral:lncRNA from 10 species
CUCUUACCCGGCUCUACAAAUUACUGAAGUCCACUGAUAGUCCCUCCUUCGUGAAGCAUUCCUGAAGACCCCAGCCUGACAGAUCUCCCCUUCCUCUGACCUCCUGUAUUGAAUGUGUCAGUUGGCUUUUCUGGAAAGCGGAUGCUAAAAUGGAACUAGGGGUGUAAGAGGCUUAUUGGAAGGUAACACCUGUGAAAGAUGAAAGGCACAGGAAGCAGGACUGGAAAGGAAAGGCUCAGACCACAAUGCACAUCUGACAAGUUCCCAGUCAACUCAACAGCAAGCUAGAGAACAAGGACUGAUGAUUAGAAGGGCUCUGCAUUGCAAAGAAUGGCCAGGCCCAAGUAUCUCGGCUGAGCUUUGUCACUGGCUGGGGAUAUCUGGGAAAAGCAUGGAGUAGGGCGACUGUGGUUUACAAUAAUCUAUUGUUAUAUUUUAAAAUAGCUAGAAGAAAAUAAUUUGAAUGUUUC